UAGCAGUAUUUUUUAGUGAUAUGCUAUUUGCACAGUGCAAAUAGCUUUAUAUUCUAUUUAUUCUAUGUUAAAAUAGCAGGAUAUUCUGCUAAUUACUUAUUGCAAAUAGUGGCAAUUAUCUGCACUCAGCAUUGUAAUACAUUAUAAAUCAGUAUGCAAUAACUUAUUGGGUGUAAUUUUUAAAUUUUAUUUUAAAUUUUUCAAUGGAUGCCCUACACCUACCCUAACCCUACCCGAUACUUUCUUUUCAACUUUUUGAUUAUUUCCUUCAUUUUUAUUAAAAAAUAAAUGCUUUUCUGAUGUGAUUUGAAAAGGGAGAAAAAAGUUCGCCAUAAGGCAGAUUCGAACCCCAGUCGAUCGUGUCAAAAGGAGCUUGACGCACGGUUUACCAUCUGCGCCACUGAAUCUGAUAGCUGAUGGUCCUCUUCCCGCGCUCCACCGAUUCUUUAGCUAAACGGCCCUAAACCGUUUCCCAUUCAUUCUUAAUGGUAGUGCUAAACCACUACGGAUGCAAUAUAUUUUCGGUCGCUAGCGCUCUCGUGGCGCUCUUCCGCGUUGCGGCACCGCGGGAAGUUUGAAUUCGCAGAAGAAGACGACUGUUUAAUUCAACGCAUUCUCAGCGCAUCUGUCAAAGAGACCACUGUUUCUACACUGCUGUCAUCUUCUCCUGGUACCCAUGCAGAUCCUCAGUCAGAUACAGGAAAUACAUAUACGCCACCUCUGCCUCUGCUGGCCUCACCUGCGACCCCCUGGACCUGUGAAGACUGGUGGCAGGGUGUUUGUACUGGAGCACAAACACAGAGCCCAUUGACAACUUGCUUAAUAAACACCGUGGGAAGAAGGACAUCCUCAGGAGCAUGCAGCAAUGGUCCACAAUUCCUCUACUGAUCCAAACAGCGUGCUCCAUUCGACCACAAAACUGCACAUUUCACUGUAUGUCAAGCACCUGGCCAAACUGCAGAACACCAGUUCUUCAUUAAACAACUCCAGAGAAACGUCUUGAAAGCGGGUAGUAAAACAACUACUGUGCCGGUGGUAACAAUGAAGCCUGCGGAUGUAAACCCACCAGCACCUGCUCUGACCACACUCCUAACUCAUGAGACCAUUGAGACAAUUGUGUUAUGGAGCGGCAGCAGCACCCUGAGCAGGAGAAGACUUGUCUUGCUUGUGGACAGCCAAAGAUGGUUCCUCUAACCACUUUUUUCUUAAUCAGCAAGGCCCUGUCAGGUACUUCUACUGUUCCACAAAGGUUUUUAAUGCUUACAGUGAUUAAGAACUAACACACCCCAGAGUUAUUUAAGAGUGAACUUGAGGACACAAAGAAACGGGUGCAGGAGAAAGGACAGCAAAAACACAAAAGGCCUGAAACUGAACACGUUAGUCGCUUGUGCAGAUUUUGUAAAAUGGAGCUGAAGCAGGGUCCAAACAGUCCUCACAUACACACAGGCUUUCCUGGCGUAGCAGGGAAAUAUGUUCAUUGCCCUGCUAAAGUCUUUUCCAUUUACCAACCUCAGGACAUGCAGAAAGAUGACUCGGAAAGAGUUUAAUGAGUCGGAGAUGGGUGGCAGAAAAAAAAAAAAGACAUUUCUUGAUCUUUUGCCCCUUAAUAAUAUUUAACUCAUGUAUAUACUGUAUAUUUUGAUUUGUUUAUUGUUCAGUGUGAGACUGUAAUAUGUA